CUACGGAGGGUGCGAGCGUUAAUCGGAAUUACUGGGCGUAAAGCGUGCGUAGGCGGUUUGUUAAGUCAGAAGUGAAAGCCCUGGGCUCAACCUGGGAACGGCUUUUGAGACUGGCAGACUCGAGUUGAGUAGAGGGGAGUGGAAUUUCCGGUGUAGCGGUGAAAUGCGUAGAGAUCGGAAGGAACACCAGUGGCGAAGGCGACUCCCUGGACUCAAACUGACGCUGAGGUACGAAAGCGUGGGUAGCAAACAGGAUUAGAAACCCUAGUAGUCC
rnacentral:rRNA from 1 species